GUGAGGAAUAUUGGUCAAUGGACGAGAGUCUGAACCAGCCAAGUCGCGUGAAGGAAGACGGUUCUAUGAAUUGUAAACUUCUUUUGUGCAGGAAUAAAGUGGGUUACGUGUAACCUUUUGUAUGUACUGUACGAAUAAGGAUCGGCUAACUCCGUGCCAGCAGCCGCGGUAAUACGGAGGAUCCGAGCGUUAUCCGGAUUUAUUGGGUUUAAAGGGUGCGUAGGUGGAUUGAUAAGUCAGCGGUGAAAGUUUGCAGCUUAACUGUAAAAUUGCCGUUGAAACUGUCGGUCUUGAGUGCAAAUGAAGUAGGCGGAAUGUGUUGUGUAGCGGUGAAAUGCUUAGAUAUAACACAGAACUCCGAUUGCGAAGGCAGCUUACUGGGAUGCAACUGACACUGAUGCACGAAAGCGUGGGUAUCAAACAGGAUUAGAAACCCUGGUAGUCC
rnacentral:rRNA from 1 species